AACAAACGCUGGCGGCGUGCCUAAUACAUGCAAGUCGAACGGGGAAAGCUUUCGGGUGAGUACUAGUGGCGCACGGGUGAGUAACGCGUGGGUAAUCUGCCUUAGAGUGUGGGAUAACUAGUCGAAAGAUUAGCUAAUACCGCAUAAGACCACAAGAACUGCGGUUCAAGGGGUCAAAGGUUUUUCGCUCUAAGAUGAGUCCGCGUAAGAUUAGCUAGUUGGUAGGGUAACGGCCUACCAAGGCGACGAUCUUUAACUGGUCUGAGAGGAUGAUCAGUCACACUGGAACUGAGACACGGUCCAGACUCCUACGGGAGGCAGCAGUAGGGAAUAUUGCACAAUGGAGGAAACUCUGAUGCAGCGACGCCGCGUGAGUGAUGAAGGCCUUCGGGUCGUAAAGCUCUGUCGCAGGGGAAUAACACAAUGAAGGUACCCUGUAAGAAAGGAUCGGCUAACUUCGUGCCAGCCGCCGCGGUAAUAC
rnacentral:rRNA from 1 species